rnacentral:rRNA from 1 species
AUACGGAGGGUGCAAGCGUUAUCCGGAAUCAUUGGGUUUAAAGGGUCCGUAGGCGGACUAAUAAGUCAGGGGUGAAAUCCCACAGCUUAACUGUGGAACUGCCUUUGAUACUGUUAGUCUUGAGUUAUGUGGAAGUAGAUAGAAUGUGUAGUGUAGCGGUGAAAUGCUUAGAGAUUACACAGAAUACCGAUUGCGAAGGCAGUCUACUACAUAUAUACUGACGCUAAUGGACGAAAGCGUGGGGAGCGAACAGAAUUAGAUACCCUAGUAGUCC